AAACCGUGAUGUGGACAUCUCCUCUAGAGUUCUCCAAAGCGCUUCCACAUCUCAAAUAGAGAUUCAGACUCAUUUUGUUAAAAAUUAGAAAUAUUUGGCCAAGAAU